AAAACUUUUUCAAAAAAAAAAAAAUCUGUUCUUAUCAGUUUAAUAUCUGAUACGUCCCCUAUCCGGGGACUGCAUAUUAAAUGGAUUUUUGGAUCACGGAGCUGGAGCCGGGGCUUGCUCCAUCCACUCCACGCAUCGGCCUGUUAUUGCAGUGUAUCCAGAAAUGGUGCUUCCAGU
rnacentral:snRNA from 1 species